rnacentral:rRNA from 1 species
GGGGGGGGGGGGGGGGGGGGCGGGGGGGGGGAGGGCGGGCGGGUGGGGGGGGGUUGCGCCUGGCUGCGGCGGCGGACGGGUGAGUGGUGCCUCGGAGUGUGGCUGGUCGUGGGGGAUGGCGUCCGGCCACGUGCGCUGAUACCGCAUACGUCCUGAGGGCGAAAUGGGGGGCUCUUCGGACCUCCCGAUCUCAUGUUCGCCUAGGUCGGAUUAGCUAGUUGGUUGGGUAAAGUCCUACCACAGCGACGAUCCGUACCUGGUCUGAGAGGAUGAUCAGGCACACUGGAACUGAGACACGGUCCAGACUCCUACGGGAGGCAGCAGUGGGGAAUAUUGGACAAUGGGCGAAAGCCUGAUCCAGCCAUGCAGCGUGUGUGAAGAAGGUCUUCGGAUUGUAAAGCACUUUAAGUGGGGAGGAAGGGCAGUAAGGUAAUACCUUGCUGUUUUGACGGUACCAACAGAAUAAGCACCGGCUAACUUCGUG